CUUAAUCUAUAGAAACCCAGAAAGGCAUGAAUUUUAGGUAGAUACACUUUAAUACCUACAUACUGAGCCUAGAACCUGAGUAUUAGAUGUUUGAUUAACUGGGUUUUUGGACAAACAGAAUAAUUAGUACUAUAAAUGCCUGGCAGGAAUGGGGUAAUUGUGUCUAAUUCCCAGACGUGGUAUAGGAUCUGCCAUAAAUACCUUCGUACUUGAAGAGACUCUCUCCACACACUAGUUAUGUUUAAUUUUUUUUUUUCUUUUUGUAGAAAUGCCACCCCUUCUGUCUGCCAUUGACUUGAUUGGCAUCAUUUAUCAGCACAGCAAUGUUUUCCAUACUUGACUAGUAUCAUUAUUUCCCUUCAUGUUGGCAGAAAA
rnacentral:lncRNA from 1 species